GCCUGCGGGAAUGAUUUAACAACCUGGAAAGCUUUUAGACGUUUUCAGGGAUGUUUGCCAGGGAACAUUAACGCUCACUGACCGACCGCCUUUAAGAUUGAUAGUAGCGAAGAAAGAUCGCGCACGACUGACUGGAAGAACGCUUUCUUGAGAAAGCGCGUGAUCCCGCCUCACAGUCAAACAGCCAGAAAAGCUUCAGGAUCUUCUCAAGGUCUGCAGCUACUCUUCAAACAGAUCGAUGGACUUCACAUAAAACAGGUGGUGUACUUCCACACUUCUCUGUUCCUGAGUUCUGUGGUGGUAGUGGUGGAGUUGGUGUCUUUGUCUACCAGGGCAGACGGUUCCCAGGAUGCAGUGGGGUCAUGGUUUGGUCUCCUCCAGCUCUUCACAGGUCGUGCAGACUCCAGUAUCUCUCAGGAAGAGGGCAGGUUGAGUCUGUUCAAUGGGACCCCUAGGAGCCCUCCUGCACCCAACGCUGAAAGACCCUGAAAGAACCCCAAGCUUUACAUUCAGUCAAUAGUUCAUAGUCCACACCUUUAGCAGCUCAUGUCAAUAUGAAAUCAGAAUUUGUACUCUUAUUUUUUUAAUUCAAUACAUGUUAAUGUUGAUUUAUUACAUUUGGAAAUUACAGUAAAUUAUGAUAUAUUUGAAAAAGAAGUUAUACCAUUGUGAUGCAUUGAGAUGUCCUUGAAAACAAGCUUUCAAGGUAGCGGACUUCAUGACCAAGUCAGAAAUACUCCUCAUAAGUGGGUUCCAGUUAUAUUUCAGCAGGCAUUCGGAUGUGACUCUGUUCUGAUAUUCAACACACUGAGACUGUUUUGAUUAUCCAAUCAAAUCCCGCCCUACUUUUUUCACAUUGAAAAUGCUGAGUGACACGUAAAUCUGUCAGAUUGCAUGAAAUAGGUUGUGAAUUGUGUUUCAUAGUCUUUUAAAGCUGAAGUAUUCAGUCAGUGAAUGUGAUUUUGAAACGACGAGAUCAUAGUUUUCUUCUAGGCAAUUCUCUUUGAUUUUUUUAGGUGGGUACAGUAGAUAGAUGUUUCAUUGAUGUGAUUACCCCAGCAGCACAGCAGGUAUUUGAAGGCUUGACUGAACCGGCCUGAUUUCUGGGAAAGUGCAUGUGGUGAAAUUUGACUAGAUAACAUAUUCUACUCAUGGUCUCAAAGGAGUCAAACUGAGGCAGAGACAACAGCAAGAGCUUAGUAAUACAUAGUUGAUAAACAGCACUUCAUGCUUUCUGACACUAGUGAUGAGAAACUAUUUGCAUAUGUGUGUGUGUUUGCCUCUUUUUUCAAAUGCUUUCGAUAUACAAUCUGCCUUGUCUUUACCAUUUCAGUUCAUUUCCACUUGAAAGCAAAUUGAAUUAGGACUAUUUCUUGCAUUGCUGUUGUAAGAAAAA